UUCCAAUUCAUCAUUGACCGGAUACGCUCAAGGUUGGUUGGGUGGAAAGGCAAGCUGAUGAACAUGGCAGGUAGAAGGGUACUGAUGCGUGCUGUUUUGACGGCACUGCCGGUGUUUGCAAUGACAAUACUCAAAGUGCCGAAGAAGAUUCUAAAAGAGGUGGACAAAGCAAGGAGGCAGUUUCUAUAGGCUCAUGAUGAGAAUGUCACUGGCGCCAAAUGCAAGGUGGCCUGGGGCAAAGUCUGUCUUCCGGUGGACAAGGGGGGCUAG
rnacentral:rRNA from 1 species